GACGAACGCUGGCGGCGUGCUUAACACAUGCAAGUCGAACGGUAAGGCCCUUCGGGGUACACGAGUGGCGAACGGGUGAGUAACACGUGGGUGAUCUGCCCUGCACUUCGGGAUAAGCCUGGGAAACUGGGUCUAAUACCGGAUAGGACCACUGCCUGCAUGGGUGGUGGUGGAAAGCUUUUGCGGUGUGGGAUGGGCCCGCGGCCUAUCAGCUUGUUGGUGGGGUGAUGGCCUACCAAGGCGACGACGGGUAGCCGGCCUGAGAGGGUGACCGGGCACACUGGGACUGAGAUACGGCCCAGACUCCUACGGGAGGCAGCAGUGGGGAAUAUUGCACAAUGGGCGCAAGCCUGAUGCAGCGACGCCGCGUGAGGGAUGACGGCCUUCGGGUUGUAAACCUCUUUCAGCACCGACGAAGCGCAGGUGACGGUAGGUGCAGAAGAAGGACCGGCCAACUACGUGCCAGCCGCCGCGGUAACAC
rnacentral:rRNA from 1 species